AUUGAACGCUGGCGGCAGGCUUAACACAUGCAAGUCGAGCGGGGUGAUGGUGCUUGCACUAUCACUUAGCGGCGGACGGGUGAGUAAUGCUUAGGAAUCUGCCUAUUAGUGGGGGACAACAUCUCGAAAGGGAUGCUAAUACCGCAUACGUCCUACGGGAGAAAGCAGGGGAUCACUUGUGACCUUGCGCUAAUAGAUGAGCCUAAGUCGGAUUAGCUAGUUGGUGGGGUAAAGGCCUACCAAGGCGACGAUCUGUAGAGGGUCUGGGAGGAUGAUCCGCCACACUGGGACGGAGACACGGCCCAGACUCCUACGGGAGGCAGCAGUGGGGAAUAUUGGACAAUGGGGGGAACCCUGAUCUAGCCAUGUCGCGUGUGUGAAGAAGGCCUUAUGGUUGUAAAGCACUUUAAGCGAGGAGGAGGCUCUUUUGGUUAAUACCCAAGAUGAGUGGACGUUACUCGCAGAAUAAGCACCGGCUAACUCUGUGCCAGCAGCCGCCGUAA
rnacentral:rRNA from 1 species